ACAAGGAGAGGGGCUUUGUGUCUUGUUUCACACUGUGUCCCCAGGCUUAGAAUAUUCUGGCAUCAGAAGGCACUCAAUAAACAUAGAAAGGAAGAAAGGAAGAAGAUGAAAUCAGGAGUACAGAUUAAAGUGUUAUCUUUGGAAGAGAGGCAAGACAUCCUCUGGGACAGAAGGGAAGGAGGGAAAGCUGGGGAACAUGCAGAUAAUACAAGAGGUGCGGUUUGUGACUGAUGGCUGCUAUUUUCUCUGUGAGACUGAAUCCAGACAACUUUGGACAUUCCUUCAUUUGAAAAAUUUUUACUGAACAAUUAAAGACCAUUGAUAUAGUGAACAUCAGGAUGCCAUAGUUUUCCUGUCUUCAUGGAGAUGAAUGAAUGAACUGUAUUUUUUAUUAGCCCGAGCAAGAGUUCUUCCCAAAUUUCCUCCAUGAACCAUAGGCUCCUACCUCUUAACCAUUUUAUGAAAAUUCUAUGGUGAAUUGAGGUCCUCCAGUUAUUUGACAAUAUCUGAUUUUGCCAUGGUCACGUGGGAAAAGUAGGCAUGUGAGCAAGUCAUAGUUUUACUUGGUUGGAAGAUUCUUCUAAUUAUGUCAAGAUGAAAGGUUUUAUACUGCGUAGAAGGCAGUGUGAGAGAAGCGGACAGUAGGACUCCUAUUUGGUGGGCCAGUGGCUAUAUUUUAAAAUAUGAAGGA
rnacentral:lncRNA from 1 species